UCCUCCCCUUUCCUCCCCUGAGGAGCCUCCACUGCCUUUACAUGAGCAUUUGAUCCACAUCCUGAUCCUGAUCCACAUCCUGAUCCACAUCCUGAUUCACAUCCUGAUCCACAUCCACAUCCUGAUUCACAUUCUGAUCCACAUCCACAUCCUGAUCCACAUCCUGAUCCACAUCCACACCCUGAUUCACAUCCAGAUUCCGAUCCACAUCCUGAUACACACCCUGAUCCACAUCCACAUCCUGAUUCACAUUCUGAUCCACAUCCACAUCCUGAUCCUCAUCCACAUCCUGAUCCACAUCCUGAUCCUGAUCCACAUCCUGAUCCACAUCCACACCCUGAUUCACAUCCUGAUCCACAUCCUGAUUCACAUUCUGAUCCACAUCCACAUCCUGAUCCACAUCCACACCCUGCUUCACACCCUGAUACACAUCCACAUCCUGAUACACAUCCAGAUUCCGAUCCACAUCCUGAUACACACCCUGAUCCACAUUCACAUCCUGAUCAACAUACUGAUCCACAUCCUGAUCCACAUCCUGAUCCACAUCCUGAUCCACAGGUCCUGAUCCACAUCCUGAUCCACAUCCUGAUCCUCAUCCACAUCCUGAUCCUGAUCCACAUCCUGAUCCACAUCCACACCCUGAUUCACACCCUGAUCCACAUCCUGAUCAACAUCCACAUCCUGAUUCACACCCUGAUCCACAUCCACAUCCUGAUACACAUCCUGAUUCUGAUCCACAUCCACAUCCUGAUCUACAUCCACAUCCAUAUCAACAUACUGAUCCACAUCCUGAUCCACAUCCUGAUCCACAUCCACAUCAACAUCCUGAUCUACAUCCUGAUCCACAUCCACAUCCUGAUCCUGAUCCACAUCCUGAUCCACAUCAACAUCCUGAUCCACAUCCACAUCCUGAUCCUGAUCCAUAUCCUGAUCCACAUCCUGAUCCAUAUUCACAUUCUGAUCCACAUCCACAUCCUGAUCCACAUCCUGUUCCACAUCAAAAUCCUGAUCCACAUCCACAUCCACAUUCUGACCGACAUCAACUUCCUGAUCCAACUCCACAUCCUGAUCCACAUCCACAUUCUGACCCACAUCAACUUCCUGAUCCACCUCCACAUCCUGAUCCACAUCCUGAUCCACAUCCUGAUCCAUAUUCACAUUCUGAUCCACAUCCACAUCCUGAUCCACAUCCUGUUCCACAUCAAAAUCCUGAUCCACAUCCACAUCCACAUUCUGACCCACAUCAACUUCCUGAUCCACCUCCACAUCCUGAUCCACAUCCACAUCCUGUUCCACAUCCUGAUCCACAUCCACAUCCUGAUCCACAUUCUGACCCACAUCAACUUCCUGAUCCACCUCCACAUCCUGAUCCACAUCCACAUCCUGAUCCACAUUCUGACCCACAUCAACUUCCUGAUCCACCUCCACAUCCUGCUCCACAUCCUGAUACACAUCCACAUCCUGAUCCACAUCCACACCCUGAUUCACAACCUGAUUCACAUCCUGAUUCACAUCCACAUCCUGAUUCACAUCCGGAUCCACAUCCACACCCUGAUUCACACCCUGAUCCACAUCCUGAUUCACAUCCACAUCCUGAUACACAUCCUGAUUCUGAUCCACAUCCACAUCCUGAUCUACAUCCACAUCCGUAUCAACAUACUGAUCCACAUCCUGAUCCACAUCCUGAUCCACACCCACGUCCUGAUCCACAUACUGAUCCUCAUCCUUAUCCACAUCAACAUCCUGAUCCACAUCCUGAUCCACAUCAACAUCCUGAUCCACAUCCUGAUCCACAUCCAUAUCCUGAUCCACAUCAACAUCCUGAUCCACAUCCUGGUCCACAUCCACAUCCACAUCCUGAUCCACAUCCUGAUCCACAUCCUGAUCCACAUCGACAUCCUGAUCUACAUCCUGAUCCACAUCCUGAUGGAUUGUGUUUUCUAUUUGUUGACUUGUCAUUUCCAUGAAUCCACCCUGCACCAAA
ensembl:lncRNA